rfam:Medicago truncatula strain A17 chromosome 7, whole genome shotgun sequence.
AUCUUUGCGCUUGGGGCAAUGACGCAGCUAAUGAGGUUCUAACCGAGGCGCGUCUAUUGCUGGUUGAAAACUAUUUCCAAACCCCCUCUUAGGCUUAGGGAAACUUAAGCCUUUGAGAAUUUCUGGAAGGACUCCCUUAGGGGUAAAGUU